rnacentral:misc_RNA from 1 species
GGAACAUUACACUGAAAUGGGUAACAUUAUGCCUUUUAGACAAAACUCGUACAAGAAUAUGGAACGUCCCAAGAAUGUGAACCCAGUAUUGAUUAUGAUAGAUCAGAGGCAGAGCCCCUCUACACCAAGAUCUAACAAACAUUUUAUCUAUAAUCAAAGCUUACUCUGGCAUCUAACAAUACACGCAACAUAGUGACCAAAUGUAACAUCCAACGCCAAAAACAGUCUUUCAUUAAAACCAACAUUUUGUUUCAGUCAGUAUCAUUAAAACCUACAGGAUAUCAAUUGAAUCACACAGGUUGUUAAGUUGAAAACUUGAGAUAAGAAACGGUAGCUUGAUCACGGAAUGAAAUAUAAAUGUGAAGCAGGGACCCGGAAAGGACCCUCUGCAUUUCAAUUGCUCAUUCAGCUUCAUAAUCCGGGAUACUUUUACCCUCUCAACAAUGUAUUUCUAUAUGAUGAGUUGUCACGCAAAGAAGCAUCGUGGGGCUUGUAUUCCAUAACAUAGCUGUGGGGAAGCUUCAAGUGCCUUUUGAUCGAAUCUCUUAGAGCCAUCACAGCCUGAUGAUCAGAUGCAUUACGAUUCCAAACACUCAGUAUAUCCUCAUUAAAACGAAUGCUUAGUACUGCACCACAUAUGUUAUCACCGUAAUCCAGUUGGUCACCCACUAAGGCAAGCACCUGCAUUUGCACACGAUAGUAAAUAAUAAAGAUCCAUUCCAAGAUUUCUAAUUUAAUGGAAAAGCCACCUGUAUUAUGGUAUAAAUCUUAUAAUUUUCACGGGUGAGGACUAAAAGAAGACCACAUGAUGCUACUAAAAUGUGACAAGGAAUGCAUCUAACUUGUAUAGAAAUUCACCAAGUGUCAAAAAUGUUACCAGUAACUGCUAUAUGGCAUCUGUCUAGCAUACGGCCAAGCACCCACAGGUAGAAGCUGAUUAGUUCAAUAUGAAAUUCUAAAUAAAAUAAUCUAAAUAAGCUGAAAUCUAAUUCAGCAAGUGUCAAAAAUAAAAUAGUGAAACAAAGUGAGUGCGUGUGCAAGUCACUGGGGACCCUUAAAACAAAGAAGCAACAUUAAAUUAAAUUGUCAAAGGCAAUAACAGAGAAGCGAAGAUACCGCAAGCAACCAAAAAGUUCAUUUCAGCUUUUUCUCUUACCAAGUCCUCCCAAAAGCGACCUGAGACAACCUUUUUGAAUCGUAUUAUCCACUUGCCACCAUUGGAGUUUGCAGAAUCCUCCCAUAGAGGACGGAUUCCCUCCUUGAAAAGAUGCAGAUCAGUAGGACUAGGCAAAGAAGACGAUCGAGCCAAGUGGCAAUAGCAGACCCAAAAACCUUCAACUGUACUGAACUCCACAAUUUUCUUUAUAUUAUCCUCAUAUGAAGUUUGUGUUCGAAUUCCUGGUGUUCGGCGAGUGUACCAAAAUACAAACUUGUGCUUAAGAGGAUGCAAACCAGCUUUGAGGUCACGUGCUUGGCGUUCUUCGGCUUCUUUAUCGAUAUUAUCAGAUGAUCCUGAAUCCAAUGCCGUUUGAGCAUUACUAUUGUUAUUAUUAUUAUUGUUUUCUGUUUCCUUCUUCUCUGCGAUCUCCAUUUUUUAGCUUUUUUAACUGAAACCCCAAAUCCCAAAAGCGCUUUCUCUCUGUGUUAUGGUUUAUCUGAAGUUGUUCAGUGGAGACGAUGGACGAGGAAACCAAAGGAAAAGAAAAGCAAAACCCGAC